rnacentral:rRNA from 1 species
GAUGAACGCUGGCGGCGUGCCUAAUACAUGCAAGUCGAGCGAACAGAUAAGGAGCUUGCUCCUUUGACGUUAGCGGCGGACGGGUGAGUAACACGUGGAUAACCUACCUAUAAGACUGGGAUAACUUCGGGAAACCGGAGCUAAUACCGGAUAACAUAUUGAACCGCAUGGUUCAAUAGUGAAAGGCGGCUUUGCUGUCACUUAUAGAUGGAUCCGCGCCGUAUUAGCUAGUUGGUAAGGUAACGGCUUACCAAGGCAACGAUACGUAGCCGAUCUGAGAGGGUGAUCGGCCACACUGGAACUGAGACACGGUCCAGACUCCUACGGGAGGCAGCAGUAGGGAAUCUUCCGCAAUGGGCGAAAGCCUGACGGAGCAACGCCGCGUGAGUGAUGAAGGUCUUCGGAUCGUAAAACUCUGUUAUCAGGGAAGAACAAAUGUGUAAGUAACUGUGCACAUCUUGACGGUACCUGAUCAGAAGGCCACGGCUAACUACGUGCCAGCAGCCGCAGUAA